rnacentral:lncRNA from 1 species
AAGAUUUCUUAAUUUAAAUUGCAGCAAAGAAUUCAUUGAAAAUCUUAAGAUUUGUUUGGAUUAUACUUUUGGAAUACUAUGGAAAACUUUGAAAAAAUAAUCCAAACAAAUCCAAUGUUUUCCAAAGCAGAAAACUAUGGAUUACUUUGGACUUAUAUUUUGCUCCCUCAAAUCAGAUUUCAGUGUCUUUGGAAAUCCUCGGACUUUUGUGUUCUGAGUUUCUAGCAUUUGGAAAAUAUUGGAAUAACUUGGACUUUAGUUUUAGCUUAUAAAUUCUUUCAAAAAGGGAAAGUCCACACUUUUGCAAUUAUUUCACAAGCAAGUUUUAAUUCCAACUGUAAUUACUUUUCUUAGUUUAAUGGUCAUAUAGGUAUCCAAAUUAAUUGAAAUGAAACAAGCAAUCUAACAAAUUAAAAUUUAAGUCAGUGUUUUCAUUUUGUAUAAUAAAAAGAUGUAAAUUAGAAUUCUAUCAUUUUAUUAAUUGAUGUAACUAGAUAUAUCAUUGAAAAUAAUAAAAUUAUGUCCCAUUAUAUAAGCUAUUUAUUUCUUGGUUAUUGAACACCUCAAACAACAGCAUCAGAUAAUAGGCAUUAAAAGUCAUGUCAUGAGUCCAACAAAUUGUUAAUGAAAUUAUGCUUAUAAUGUUACAUCAUCAUAACUGAAUAAAUCUAUUCCUUUGAUGAUUGGCAAUGAUUAAUUAUCUAGCUUUUACAGUCAUUUAUAUACUGCUGUUCAAUGUAUACUGAUAUGUUAACACACAGAGAUAGCUGAUAACACCUGGACAUUCUGAUCAAGAUAACGACCAAUGAAAAUACAGGCUUCUGAAGCCGUUUUACACCUGUACCCAAAAAAAUAAUCCCAAUAUUUCUGCCUGUUUUUUUUUUCUGUGAUCUUUGCAAAUUCUGUGAGCAAAUAAAUGGAUAAAUUCUCCCAUGAACUGUAUACAUAUAUAUUUUAAGAACAUUCUAGUAUUCCUUUCAGUAACUAUAUUGUACCAAAGAAAAUCGCUCAUGAAUACAAAAAUUUGAAUGUAAACAGGAAGUUCUUUGUUCAUGUUGUUGGAGGCAAAUGGAAUAAAGCUAACUUGAAACUCUAAAAUGUUUUUAGAGGGAUAUCAGAUGAAAGAGUGUGCAUAUCUAGUUAUUAGAAGUAUGCCUUCAACACAUAUGUAUGAAUUGAUGUAGUCAGAGAAAUCAGAUGGCUUCAGUGACUAUGCUAUGUACAGGAUGAUGUGAGAUCACAGACAGAAAUCCCAUCAAACAUAAAUUACAGAAUAUUUCAACUAAAUUAAAUGGCUGGAAUGAAGUUCCUGACCCAGGUGAUGGUUUUGGAAAAGCAAAGAGACAUUCUGAUGCCACCUUAUAUUGAGCCUACAAUACUCCAAAAAUGAUUUUGUUGUAUUCAUAACUUUCCACCAAAUAAUUUUUAUAUUUAAUAUAUCUUUUAGUUUAAUUUUUAAGUUUAAGCUAAGUGAAUUUUUAUUAUUCUUAACCAUAGAUGUAAAAGCUGCUGACAGAUGUGUUAUUCCCUUUUGAAUUUUAUGCUUUUUGUGUUUUGUGAAGCCCAGAUCUGUCACAAUAUUAUUAAUAUUUAAAAUUAUUAUUAUUAUAUUAAAAUAAUUUUGUAAUGAUAUUAUUUCUUUUUUUUCUUUGGAUUUCUUGGAAUUUCUUUAGGAUUUCAAGGUAUUCUAAAGUUUUCCAUAGUUAAUAUUGUAUCUGUUUAGGUACAAUAGUAAAAAUUUCAAUGAAUUGCAAUCUUUUCCUCAUUGCCAGGCCUUAUUGAAAUUCCAAAGAUUUCCUAUCUUUUUCUAGGUUGCAAUUCUUUGAAAUUAUUUGGAUUUUCAUCACAAAUUUCAUUGGAAUUCAUAGGAAUUCAUUGGAAUUUUGUGCCAAUACCAGCAAUGUUUUCCAAUGUUUUUCCAUCA